UACGGGGGAGCAAGCGUUGUUCGGAUUUACUGGGCGUAAAGGGCGCGUAGGCGGCCUCUGCAAGUCAGUUGUGAAAUCUCCGAGCUUAACUCGGAAAGGUCAACUGAUACUGCGGGGCUAGAGUGCGGAAGGGGCAACUGGAAUUCUUGGUGUAGCGGUGAAAAUGCGUAGAUAUCAAGAGGAACACCUGCGGCGAAGGCGGGUUGCUGGGCCGACACUGACGCUGAGGCGCGAAAGCUAGGGGGAGCGAACGGG
rnacentral:rRNA from 1 species